rnacentral:rRNA from 1 species
CCCGCACAAGCGGUGGAGCAUGUGGUUUAAUCGACGCAACGCGAAGAACCUUACCUGGGCUUGACAUCCCGAUCGUACCUGCUGGAAACAGCGGGGUCAGUUCGGCUGGAUCGGAGACAGGUGCUGCAUGGCUGUCGUCAGCUCGUGUCGUGAGAUGUUGGGUUAAGUCCCGCAACGAGCGCAACCCUUGUCCUUAGUUGCCAUCAUUUAGUUGGGCACUCUAAGGAGACUGCCGGUGUUAAACCGGAGGAAGGUGGGGAUGACGUCAAGUCCUCAUGGCCCUUAUGUCCAGGGCUACACACGUGCUACAAUGGCCGGUACAAAGGGCAGCAAAGCCGCGAGGUGGAGCCAAUCCCAGAAAGCCGGUCUCAGUUCGGAUUGGAGUCUGCAACUCGACUCCAUGAAGUUGGAAUCGCUAGUAAUCGCGGAUCAGCAUGCCGCGGUCGAAUACGUUCCCGGGCCUU